AAUCCUGAGAAUGGAACCAAACCUUUUAAGAGUGCAAGUAUGCAAUCUAUACCAAACCAAACCAUUAAGCUUGAAUAUAAGUUAUUGCCAUGAUCUGAAGGUCAAGGAAUGGACAAGAAAUUUAGUGGACAAAAUUUGAUGAGAUAAAAACCAUCUAUUCUAGCACCUCUCAGAGUUGAGGUGUUCUGGGACUGAAAAAAAAUUAUGAAUGAGAAGAAUAGAAACCAUAGGAGCACUUCCCCUCUCCACAGACAGCUGCUGAUGGGUUAAGAGCUACUGAGAACAGCCCUCAGAUGGUUUGAAUUGGGCACACUGAAG
rnacentral:lncRNA from 1 species